rnacentral:rRNA from 1 species
GACGAACGCUGGCGGCGUGCCUAAUACAUGCAAGUCGAACGCAGUGGGGACGGGUGAGUAACACGUGGGUAACCUCCCAUCAGAGGGGAUAACACUUGGAAACAGGUGCUAAACCGAUACUGAUGGAUGGACCCGCGGUGCAUUAGCUAGUUGGUGAGGUAACGGCUCACCAAGGCCACGAUGCAUAGCGGACCGAAGGGGGUGAUGGGCCAACUGGGGACUGGGACACGGCCCAGAUUCCGACGGGAGGCAGCAGUAGGGAUUCUUCGGCAAUGGACGAAAUGCUGACCGAGCAACGCCGCUUGAGGGUAGAAGGUUUUCGGAUCGUAAAACUCUGUUGUUAGAGAAGCGGUAUCUAACCAGAAAGCCACGGCUAACUACGUGCCAGCAGCCGCGGUAAUAC